UCGCACGAGAAAGGGGGCUUCGGUCCCUGAGUACAGUGGCGCACGGGUGAGUAACACGUGGAUCAUCUACCUUCGAGUGGGGAAUAACUGAGAGAAAUCUUAGCUAAUACCGCAUAAUACCUACGGGUCAAAGCAGCAAUGCGCUUGAAGAGGAGUUCGCGGCAGAUUAGUUAGUUGGCGGGGUAAUGGCCCACCAAGACGAUGAUCUGUAUCCGGCCUGAGAGGGCGCACGGACACACUGGAACUGAAACACGGUCCAGACUCCUACGGGAGGCAGCAGUGGGGAAUUUUGCGCAAUGGGGGAAACCCUGGCGCAGCAACGCCGCGUGGAGGAUGAAAUCCCUUGGGAUGUAAACUCCUUUCGAUCGGGAAGAUAAUGACGGUACCGAGAGAAGAAGCCCCGGCUAACUUCGUGCCAGCAGCCGCGGUAAUACGAGGGGGGCAAGCGUUGUUCGGAAUUAUUGGGCGUAAAGGGUGCGUAGGCGGUUUGAUAAGUCACAUGUGAAAUCUUCGGGCUCAACCCGAAGUCUGCAUGCGAAACUGUCGGGCUUGAGUAUGGGAGAGGUGAGUGGAAUUUCCGGUGUAGCGGUGAAAUGCGUAGAUAUCGGAAGGAACACCUGUGGCGAAAGCGGCUCACUGGACCAUAACUGACGCUGAUGCACGAAAGCUAGGGGAGCAAACAGGAUUAGAUACCCUGGUAGUCCUAGCCCUAAACGAUGAUUGCUUUGAUGUGGUGGGUACCCAAUCCCGCCGUGUCGAAGCUAACGCGAUAAGCAAUC
rnacentral:rRNA from 1 species